CAAGCAAGAUGUUGAUUACAUGUCUAUUGUCGAGGAUGAAUCUGAAUCUACUUUUCAUGAGGCUUUUCUUAGUCGUCUUACGGAAACUGGUGCAACAGAAAGUUCAUCUUUAUGUGACCUUCCUAAACAGAUGGCAGGUGAUCAACAGAGAGCCUCUGAAUAGACUAAGAACAUCUUAAGUAAUUUAGUUGCUGCUGUUGACAAUUUGUGGUAUCUAAAAGAUGGAAUACAUACUGUAGUCUUGAAAAAACUUUCAGAAAAUUGUAAGAGCUAUGUGGGUUUUACAGUUUUAUUUUUGUAUGAUACUUCAAGCACUGAUCUGUAGACUUAUCUCAGUUUUUGGUGGAUC